GCCAGUAAAAGCAGAAGCAGAAACUGACCUGCGCUGAUCGUUAUUCACAUGUCAAUUUGGAGGAUUUGGAUCUGAAUGUCUUGUGAUCUGUCUGCACAGCAAAUAACCCAUAUGGCUGACCUUUGCCUCCAGCGUCUGAACCAAUACCACAAAACAAAAAGCCUCUACUCUGAGCAGAUUGUCCGGCAUGAUCUGAGGCCACCAGUGCUUCAUCUAAAACAGUGAAUGAAAAUCAGUGGUUUCCACAUGGCCUUCUAGAAUUAACACACACCACUCAUUUUCCAGGGACAUGCAUCUGCCUGGAAACUAGAGUUUAACGAGCACUUGACCUUCGCCUAACCUGCCCCUUUGUUUUGCGCAGUAUUUUUGGAGAUCAGCUGUUUCCGGGGCUGCCCUGGUGGCUCAGAUGGUAAAGAAAG
rnacentral:lncRNA from 1 species